rnacentral:rRNA from 2 species
AGAUUAAACUGAAGAGUUUGAUCCUGGCUCAGAUUGAACGCUAGCGGCAUGCCUUACACAUGCAAGUCGAACGGCAGCGCGGACUUCGGUCUGGCGGCGAGUGGCGAACGGGUGAGUAAUGCAUCGGAACGUGCCCAGUAGCGGGGGAUAACUACGCGAAAGCGUGGCUAAUACCGCAUACGCCCUACGGGGGAAAGGGGGGGAUCGCAAGACCUCUCACUAUUGGAGCGGCCGAUGUCGGAUUAGCUAGUUGGUGGGGUAAAGGCCUACCAAGGCGACGAUCCGUAGCUGGUUUGAGAGGACGACCAGCCACACUGGGACUGAGACACGGCCCAGACUCCUACGGGAGGCAGCAGUGGGGAAUUUUGGACAAUGGGGGCAACCCUGAUCCAGCCAUGCCGCGUGUGCGAAGAAGGCCUUCGGGUUGUAAAGCACUUUUGGCGGGAAAGAAACGGCGCCGGAUAAUACCUGGCGUAACUGACGGUACCCGCAGAAUAAGCACCGGCUAACUACGUGCCAGCAGCCGCGGUAAUACGUAGGGUGCAAGCGUUAAUCGGAAUUACUGGGCGUAAAGCGUGCGCAGGCGGUUCGGAAAGAAAGAUGUGAAAUCCCAGGGCUCAACCUUGGAACUGCAUUUUUAACUCCCGAACUAGAGUAUGUCAGAGGGGGGUGGAAUUCCACGUGUAGCAGUGAAAUGCGUAGAUAUGUGGAGGAACACCGAUGGCGAAGGCAGCCCCCUGGGAUAAUACUGACGCUCAUGCACGAAAGCGUGGGGAGCAAACAGGAUUAGAUACCCUGGUAGUCCACGCCCUAAACGAUGUCAACUAGCUGUUGGGUUCUUCGGAGCUUGGUAGCGCAGCUAACGCGUGAAGUUGACCGCCUGGGGAGUACGGUCGCAAGAUUAAAACUCAAAGGAAUUGACGGGGACCCGCACAAGCGGUGGAUGAUGUGGAUUAAUUCGAUGCAACGCGAAAAACCUUACCUACCCUUGACAUGUCUGGAAUCCUGAAGAGAUUUAGGAGUGCUCGAAAGAGAACCGGAACACAGGUGCUGCAUGGCCGUCGUCAGCUCGUGUCGUGAGAUGUUGGGUUAAGUCCCGCAACGAGCGCAACCCUUGUCAUUAGUUGCUACGAAAGGGCACUCUAAUGAGACUGCCGGUGACAAACCGGAGGAAGGUGGGGAUGACGUCAGGUCCUCAUGGCCCUUAUGGGUAGGGCUUCACACGUCAUACAAUGGUCGGGACAGAGGGCAGCCAACCCGCGAGGGGGAGCCAAUCCCAGAAACCCGAUCGUAGUCCGGAUUGCAGUCUGCAACUCGACUGCAUGAAGUCGGAAUCGCUAGUAAUCGCGGAUCAGCAUGUCGCGGUGAAUACGUUCCCGGGUCUUGUACACACCGCCCGUCACACCAUGGGAGUGGGUUCUACCAGAAGUAGGUAGCCUAACCGUAAGGGGGGCGCUUACCACGGUAGGGUUCAUGACUGGGGUGAAGUCGUAACAAGGUAGCCGUAUCGGAAGGUGCGGCUGGAUCACCUCCUUUC